GAUGAACGCUGGCGGCGUGCCUAAUACAUGCAAGUCGAGCGAACGGACGAGAAGCUUGCUUCUCUGAUGUUAGCGGCGGACGGGUGAGUAACACGUGGAUAACCUACCUAUAAGACUGGGAUAACUUCGGGAAACCGGAGCUAAUACCGGAUAAUAUUUUGAACCGCAUGGUUCAAAAGUGAAAGACGGUCUUGCUGUCACUUAUAGAUGGAUCAGCGCUGCAUUAGCUAGUGGGUAAGGUAACGGCUUACCAAGGCAACGAUGCAUAGCCGACCUGAGAGGGUGAUCGGCCACACUGGAACUGAGACACGGUCCAGACUCCUACGGGAGGCAGCAGUAGGGAAUCUUCCGCAAUGGGCGAAAGCCUGACGGAGCAACGCCGCGUGAGUGAUGAAGGUCUUCGGAUCGUAAAACUCUGUUAUUAGGGAAGAACAUAUGUGUAAGUAACUGUGCACAUCUUGACGGUACCUAAUCAGAAAGCCACGGCUAACUACGUG
rnacentral:rRNA from 1 species